UGUGGUGGUUCUUGCUCUAGUUGUAGCUCACACAACAGCUAGAAAUGUGCCUAUGCCAAAUGACGCUGGUUUCAAAGACCAAAAGAACUUUAUUGGUGGAGCUGGUGGCUUCUCAGGCGUUGGCGACAGUGGGCUCCCAUUUGCUGGAGCAGGGGCAGGAGUUGGCGGCAGUCUUCCUGGCGGACUUGGUGGCGGCGCUGGAGGGAUAGGUGGAGUUGCUGGCCUUGGAGGACUUGGUGGUGGUAGUGGUGGAAUCGGUGGCUUAGGUGGUAGUGGUGGCUUACCCGGUUUUGGUGGCUUAGGCGGCGCUGGCGGUUUGGGUGGUGUCGGUGGACUGGGAGGGACAAGUGGCUUGGGUGGACUUGGUGGAUUAGGUGGCGCGGCUGGUGGUGUUUUGGGCGGUGCUGGUGCAGGUGUUGGUGGGGGAGUCGGUGGUGGUGUUGGUGGUGGAAGUGGUGUUCUUCCUUACCCUUGAAGACUUGAGUUAAAAUGUUUGGAUUAUUAAUGUCUACUUCUUUGUUUAUUUGUUUAAGUUAGCUGUUGAAGUGUAUUUGCCAGUUAAUUAUAUGUGACUGAGAUUAUGAGCUAGGGUUAUUUCACUUAUGUCUUCCUAGCUAGUUAAUGUUUCUGUCGUCUUUAUUAAUCUCAGUAACCCAUAUUGUUCUGUACUACUGUUCCAUCUUUAGCGAAUAUUAAUGAAAAAAAUCCAUUUGUCUCCUAAUCCAUGUUUCGGUUCUAAAUAACAUAGUAUAAAAUUUCUUUCAGAAUUUGCCAAAAA
rnacentral:lncRNA from 1 species